AGUCCAUGAACUAACUAAAAGGUUGUGCGUGUGAGUUUCUCUCUCGGUUUCAUAAUUCCUGUCGAAAUAUUACAUAUAUUUAGACACUUUUUAAAAUAGAUAUAUUUAUUUUUGACAAAUUGGAACAGAGUUAGUAUCUUGGAGCGUUGGUUUAAAAGAACUAUAGAAUAAUCUUGGUGAUUCUAUUUAUUAGGAAUAUUUUCUGCGAAGCUCGUUUAAUUUGUAGAAUUUGAAUACAUAACAAUGCUUUUCUUACAGGCUACUUUGCAUAACAUCCAUAGAGUCAAUCCCGUAAUUUUUUUUUAUUUUUAGAGUAAAUUACAGAAAACCUCAGUUUUUUGGACAGUCAUAUCGCCGAAUCACACUUAUCACAAAACCGUCCGCAGAACCACACAUUUUGUCUCAAUUAGCAAAAAGCCGAGUGAUUUGGCAGUUUCACGUGAUUAAUUACAGGUGGGCCCACCUGGACCGGCAUUCUCAUGACGGACUGGGUUUCGGGCAUCCGCAAUGGUAGAGUUGGUAUUGACUCUACACGUCAUCU
rnacentral:lncRNA from 1 species